UACGUAGGGGGCAAGCGUUGCUCGGAAUCACUGGGCGUAAAGGGCGCGUAGGCGGGAUGGCAAGUCGGUCGUGAAAUCCUUCGGCUCAACCGAAGAACGUCGGCCGAUACUGCCGUUCUUGAGGGAUGCAGAGGAGAUUGGAAUUCCCGGUGUAGCGGUGAAAUGUGUAGAGAUCGGGAGGAACACCGGUGGCGAAGGCGGGUCUCUGGGCAUUUCCUGACGCUGAGGUGCGAAAGCGUGGGGAGCAAACAGG
rnacentral:rRNA from 1 species